rnacentral:rRNA from 1 species
UACGUAGGGGGCGAGCGUUGUCCGAAGUUACUGGGCGUAAAGAGCGUGUAGGCGGCCAUACAGGUCAGCUGUGAAAACUCGAGGCUCAACCUCGAGACGUCGGUUGAAACCGUAUGGCUAGAGUCCGGAAGAGGAGAGUGGAAUUCCCGGUGUAGCGGUGAAAUGCGCAGAUAUCGGGAAGAACACCCGUGGCGAAGGCGGCUCUCUGGGACGGUACUGACGCUGAGACGCGAAAGCGUGGGGAGCGAACAGG